rnacentral:Y_RNA from 1 species
GGCUGGUCCGAGUGCAGUGGUGUUUACAACUCAUUGAUCACAACCAGUUACAGAUUUCUUUGUUCCUUCUCCAUUCCCACUACUUCACUUGACUAGCCUUAA